rnacentral:rRNA from 1 species
AUUGAACGCUGGCGGCAUGCCUUACACAUGCAAGUCGAACGGUAACAGGUUAAGCUGACGAGUGGCGAACGGGUGAGUAAUAUAUCGGAACGUGCCCAGUCGUGGGGGAUAACGUAGCGAAAGCUACGCUAAUACCGCAUACGAUCUACGGAUGAAAGCGGGGGAUCGCAAGACCUCGCGCGAUUGGAGCGGCCGAUAUCAGAUUAGGUUGUUGGUGAGGUAAAAGCUCACCAAGCCUGCGAUCUGUAGCUGGUCUGAGAGGACGACCAGCCACACUGGAACUGAGACACGGUCCAGACUCCUACGGGAGGCAGCAGUGGGGAAUUUUGGACAAUGGACGCAAGCCUGAUCCAGCAAUGCCGCGUGCAGGAAGAAGGCCUUCGGGUUGUAAACUGCUUUUGUACGGAACGAAACGGCCUGGGUUAAUACCCUGGGCUAAUGACGGUACCGUAAGAAUAAGCACCGGCUAACUACGUGCCAGCAGCCGCAGUAA